rnacentral:lncRNA from 10 species
CGAACUCCUGACCUCAGGUGAUCUGCCUGCUUCGGCCUCCCAAAGUGCUGGGAUUACAGGCAUGAGCCACUGCGCCCAGCCUGAAAAUCUUGAAAUUUUAAGAUCCAGGAAACCGUUGAGUCCAAAGCAUGAUACACAAACCUAAAUUCGUAACUAAAAUAAUCAUAGUCGAACCACAGAACAUAUCAGACUCAGGGAAGAUCCUAACAGCAACACUAAGAGAUUAAAAUGUCUCUCCAAAGAGCAAUUGGACAGAGAACUGGUUUCACAACUGGAACAACAAAAGUCCGAAGAUAGAGCAUGGCUUCAAAUUACUGAGAGAAGUGCAGUCUAGAAUUCUGAGCCCACCUCAUCUGUAAAAGGUAGGACAAGCCGGGCAUGGUGGCUCCCGCCUGUAAUCCCAGCACUCUGGGAGGCCGAGGCGGGCAGAGGUCAGGAGUUUGAGACCAGCCGGACCAACAAGGAGAAACCCCAUCUCUACUAGAAAUACAAAAUUAGCCAGGUGUGGUGGCGGGCACCUGUGUUCCCAGCUACUUGGGAGACUGAGGCAGACAGAAUUGCUUGAACCAGGGAGACAGAGGUUGCAGUGAGCCGAGAUCGCGCCACUGUACUCCAGCUUGGGCAAAGUGAGAUUCUGUCUCAAAAAAAAAAAAAGACAAGAUAAAAACAAUUUAUCAAUAACAGAUUCCCCGAAAAAAGGAACUUGUGUACAUAAGGAAAGGAAGAAAGAUGUGAGAAGGAAUGCCGGAAAACCUUAGAAACCAUUGGAUCUGUCUAAACUGUCAUUGACUGUGUAAAGCAAUAAUAACAGUGACUAACGUAUAGAGUAGCGACAAAAGGCGCAACUGAAGUACUAGACAACAUCCUGGUGUUCAUGCCUUUCAAGGUCACUAUGCUAUUUGGGAGGAGAUUCGGCUAAAGUCCACGAGGGCCACGUAUUUAUAUAUAAUUUCUAGACCAGUGGUUGGAAAAGGGUUGAAAGAAAACUUUUAACAGAUUAAUAGGAAGAAGGAAAAGAGAAGGAGGCGUAGAAAAAUCAGGAGGCACUGCGCCCAGCCAAAUCUGCAUUUUGAUAAGUAUGCAUUUUACUAUCUAAGGGAGCUAAAACAUUUUUAUUAUUUUAGCACUGUAACUUUGCUUUUCUUCUUUGUUUUGUUUUUUUGAGACAGAGUCUCACUCUGUCGCCCAGGCU